rnacentral:rRNA from 1 species
AACACAUGCAAGUCGAACGAAGUUCCUUCGGGGACUUAGUGGCGGACGGGUGAGUAACACGUGAGAACCUGCCUUCAGAAUGGGGACAACAGUUGGAAACGACUGCUAAUACCCAAUGUGCCGAAAGGUGAAAGAUUUAUCGUCUGAAGAUGGGCUCGCGUCUGAUUAGCUAGAUGGUGGGGUAAAAGCCUACCAUGGCGACGAUCAGUAGCUGGUCUGAGAGGAUGAGCAGCCACACUGGGACUGAGACACGGCCCAGACUCCUACGGGAGGCAGCAGUGGGGAAUUUUCCGCAAUGGGCGCAAGCCUGACGGAGCAAUACCGCGUGAGGGAGGAAGGUCCUUGGAUUGUAAACCUCUUUUAUCAGGGAAGAAGAAAAUGACGGUACCUGAAGAAUAAGCAUCGGCUAACUCCGUGCCAGCAGCCGCGGUAAUACGGAGGAUGCAAGCGUUAUCCGGAAUUAUUGGGCGUAAAGCGUCCGUAGGUGGUUAUGCAAGUCUGCCGUUAAAGAAUGGAGCUUAACUCCAUAGGAGCGGUGGAAACUGCAAGACUAGAGUACAGUAGGGGUAGCAGGAAUUCCCAGUGUAGCGGUGAAAUGCGUAGAUAUUGGGAAGAACAUCGGUGGCGAAAGCGUGCUACUGGGCUGAAACUGACACUGAGGGACGAAAGCUAGGGUAGCGAAAGGGAUUAGAUACCCCUGUAGUCCUAGCCGUAAACGAUGGAUACUAGGCGUGGCUUGUAUCGACCCGAGCCGUGCCGAAGCUAACGCGUUAAGUAUCCCGCCUGGGGAGUACGCACGCAAGUGUGAAACUCAAAGGAAUUGACGGGGGCCCGCACAAGCGGUGGAGUAUGUGGUUUAAUUCGAUGCAACGCGAAGAACCUUACCAAGGCUUGACAUCCCUGGAAUCUUGCAGAAAUGUGAGAGUGCCUUAGGGAGCCAGGAGACAGGUGGUGCAUGGCUGUCGUCAGCUCGUGUCGUGAGAUGUUGGGUUAAGUCCCGCAACGAGCGCAACCCUCGUUUUUAGUUGCCAUCAUUAAGUUGGGCACUCUAGAGAGACUGCCGGUGACAAACCGGAGGAAGGUGGGGAUGACGUCAAGUCAUCAUGCCCCUUACGCCUUGGGCUACACACGUACUACAAUGGUCGGGACAACGGGCAGCUAAACCGCGAGGUCAAGCGAAUCCCAUCAAACCCGGCCUCAGUUCAGAUUGCAGGCUGCAACUCGCCUGCAUGAAGGAGGAAUCGCUAGUAAUCGCAGGUCAGAAUACUGCGGUGAAUUCGUUCCCGGGC